CCUCCAUUUAUUUUGAAGCAGAAGAUCAGUUGAAAAUUGGUGUAAUGGCCUGAUCACCUAAUACACCUUGAUUCGACAAGAGACACUGCUUCGAAAAUUAUUUGAAAUUGUUUGGAAAAGAAUUCGAAGUUUUAAAGACAAUAUGAAAGUGAAUUUAUUUGAACUUUGAUUUGAGAAAAAUGUUUUAUUAUUUGUUUAUUGGAAAUUGUUUUGAAGUUGCAAUUAAUUGUUUGAUUUUUAUUGUUUUGUCG
rnacentral:lncRNA from 1 species